rnacentral:rRNA from 1 species
AGUAACACGUAGAUAACCUGCCCUGCAGUGGGGAAUAACAGCCCGAAAGGGUUGCUAAUACCGCAUAAGCUCACGAUUGCUAGAUUGUGAGGAAACGGCGAAAGCCGGCUAAAGGAGGGGUCUGCGGCGGAUUAGCUAGAUGGUGGGGUAAAGGCCUACCAUGGCGACGAUCCGUAGCUGGUCUGAGAGGACGGCCAGCCACACUGGGACUGAGAUACGGCCCAG